ACUUUCCUUAAACUUAAACUUUAUACGUCAAACUCCCAUCACCUCUCUCAAAGAUCUCUAUCUGUCUGCCUCCCUCUCUCCGUCUAUCACUCAGGUGUCAAAAGCAUUUGGUUGUCACAAUGACAGUGUUGGUGCAGCAGAAGGAAAAACAGGCUCUUUAAAUUUCUGUCAGGGUGACAGACAACUUCAGGUAGUUGAAGUGUCCUGUAGUGCAAAAAGGAACAUAAGCCAAACUGCCUGCAAUGUGGUGCUGCUGCUCAACCAUGCUGUCUCAGUGUGUGAACUUCAACAAGCUGGAGACGCUGCACUGCAGCAAGCGAGAAUCAUAGGGGAGAUGGAGAGAGUCGGUGAGCGCUUGUUUCCUUGCCUUUGCCUUCACUCUGUUUUGUCUGUGAAUUAGUUCCCCGGUCUUCUUUGUCCAUCUUCCUGUUUUACUUUGGCAACUGCUCUUUCUUGUGUGCUGCUUCCUUCCUUGUUCCCUGACUGCAGUAAAAUAGUUAAAAAUAUGACCUCCUAUCUUCUUGAUAGAAAUCAUCAUGGUGUCAAGGAAAAGUGUGAAAAGGAAAAGAGGACCACAGUACCCAGGGUAUCUGAUUGCACUUAUUCAGUGCUUGCACAAAGCUCCUGAUAAUGCUGCUGAUGUGGCUUUGUUGUGUUGACAACAGCAGUGUCCUGAAGAUGGAUUAUAAAAAGCUCAUCUUAGAUGCUUUGCCCAGUGUGUUCUUACAAAGUUGUUUCAUGCUGGUCAUGUAAAAGAGAACAACUAGUUAAAAAUAUACUGCCCAGCCAAAAAAAAAAAAAAAAAAGUUUAAAAAACAUACAAAUUUUAAAAUUAAUGCUCUUACACUAUUUACUUAGGUAAAUCCAGGUGGUGACUUAAGUUAAUAUGUAUAAGUUCAUUACUAAAAAUCAAUAAAUAGUAUCAAAUCAUAGGGGUGACACAUUGAGAUAUGUGCUCUAAUUUUCUCUCCCUGUUAAAGAGAUGAUCCCUUGUUAAUACUUGUGUGACUUAAGUAAAAUUUAUGCUUGAUAAUACCUGAGGCUGAAAAUACAGCAAUAGACCUAGCUAAUGAAAAGUGAAUUAUGGUAAAAGAGGCCUUCCCACCUAACAGAUUGAGAGAUGUGGUACACUGUGGACAAAAAAGUCUGUCACAUGGCUAACAUGUGACAGACAUUCACACUCACAUUCAGACCUACGACCAGUUUAGAAACUAUUUGCACAUGCAAAUUCCACACAGAAAGGCUCCAGUUUCAAGGCUUCAAGUCCAGGACCUUCUAGCUGUGAAUCAUCAGUGCCACCACUAUCCUGUCCCCAAAACUUAAUCAUAUCAAAACAAAUAUUUAACUCAUUAAAUGGAAUCAUGUGAACC
rnacentral:lncRNA from 1 species